rnacentral:lncRNA from 1 species
GCAAUACACUCUUUCAGAUGUUGCAAAGAAAGGGGAUGCGUCUGAAUACAACAGUACCAUUUAUCUCCAGGGCAUACGUUCCAACAUCUCCAGUGAAAGCCUGAAACCAGUUCCAAACCUGACUGGCAUCAUUUGGAACACGUUUCUGUUCGUCUCUCCCAUACAGAAAUUUAAUGCCUUUUCCAUCCUAAUUAAGCGCUUAUCAUGUACUGCGGCUGUAACUUGUGCAGUUUGAAGGGCCACAGCAAAACUAGCAGGAAUUUUUUUCUUCUUUCAUGGAUCGAACGUUCUUUCUUACCAUAGAUCUUAGCAAACUCGGCAUAUGAUUUUUUUUCUUUCUCUAUUAAGUUGAAAACUUUCACCUUUUCACUUAAAGGAAACACUUUACGGCUUCUCUUUGGAAAACCCGAAUUGCCAGCAUCACUACUCUUGUGCUUUGGGGCCGUUAUGAAGUAAAAUAAGAGUUCCUUGAGCACACAGCACUUUGAUGCCCAACAGGUGAUCUGAUAACCUAGACGGUCACUAAGUGACUAAUAGUAGGUGGUGUAGACAACGUGGAGAUGCUGGACAGUGGGAAGAUUCACUCCCUUGGUGAGAUGGAGCAAAGAUGGCAUGAGAUUUCAUCGCGCUACUCAGAACUGUGUGGAAUUUCAAACUUAUCAAUUGUUUAUUUCUGGAAUUUUCCCUUCAGUGAAACCAAGGAAAGCAAUAUCACAGAUAAAGGGGAUUUCCGAAUAUAUAAACAAAAAGCAUUUACUGAAUACAAGAAUAAACUAUUUCUGCUCCUC